rnacentral:rRNA from 1 species
CCUACGUGAGGCAGCAGUGAGGAAUAUUGGUCAAUGGGCGCGAGCCUGAACCAGCCAAGUAGCGUGAAGGAUGACUGCCCUACGGGUUGUAAACUUCUUUUAUAAAGGAAUAAAGUGAGGCACGUGUGCCUUUUUGUAUGUACUUUAUGAAUAAGGAUCGGCUAACUCCGUGCCAGCAGCCGCGGUAAUACGGAGGAUCCGAGCGUUAUCCGGAUUUAUUGGGUUUAAAGGGAGCGUAGAUGGGUUGAUAAGUCAGUUGUGAAAGUUUGCGGCUCAACCGUAAAAUUGCAAUUGAUACUGGCAGUCUUGAGUACAGUUGAGGUAGGCGGAAUUCGUGGUGUAGCGGUGAAAUGCUUAGAUAUCACGAAGAACUCCGAUUGCGAAGGCAGCUUAAUAAACUGCCACUGACAUUGAUGCUCGAAAGUGUGGGUAUCAAACAGGAUUAGAUACCCUUGUAGUC